rnacentral:lncRNA from 10 species
CGUUUACUGAGUAUCUCCUGCAUCCUGGGCACUUCUCCACUCCAAUGUGACAGCAGUGAAUCAAACGACAGCUAGCCCUGCCCGCAGGCACUUGCAUUCCAGAGAGAGGAGACAAAGAAUACAAAACUAAAAAUAUAAAAGACGAUGUGCCACACGUUGGAAAGCGAUACAUACUCUGGAGGAAGCAACCCAUACAUGACAGAUACUGCUAUUAUAACUCAGCACCAUCCAUUCAGUCAUCGUGUGGUCUUCAUCUUUUGAAGCCUCAUUUUCUCAUCUGUAGAACUUGCCAUGAAGCUUUGUUACCAUGACGUCACAUGCUAUCCAUGGGGUUUUGUUGCUGUUACAGAGGUCCCCGUGAUAUGCUGUCCUGCAUUUCUAGACAUGUCUUUGGUUUGGAAGCCUGACACCACCAAAAGAGAACUGCAGUGCAAAUGGUUUUGAAAUCCUCCACUAAUCAUCCUAGAAGCUCAGCUAGUUCCAGGGCCUUCCAUAAUUCCAAUUCCAAAGGACUUCAUAUCAAAACAUUCUUUGCUUGUUUUGCUACCCCCCAAGAUUGCAUUUAUCCCUUCUCUGGAGAUUUUAACAGUUGGUGAGCUACCCUAGGCUCUGGUGGCACCUUCUAUAAGUGACCCUUGACCUUCCACUUUCCUGAACUGAUGAAAACAUAGCUGUGUUAGCUCAAAUAAAUAUUUCCUAACUGCCUGCUUUGGGGAAAAUGCUGUGUGAAAUGCUUGAUGGAUUUAUUUAUUCAACACCUGUUUAUGAAGUGUUGAUUAUGUGCUAG